rnacentral:rRNA from 1 species
GAUGAACGCUGGCGGCGUGCCUAACACAUGCAAGUCGAGCGAUUCUCUUCGGAGAAGAGCGGCGGACGGGUGAGUAACGCGUGGGUAACCUGCCCUGUACACACGGAUAACAUACCGAAAGGUAUGCUAAUACGAGAUAAUAUACUUUUAUCGCAUGCUAGAAGUAUCAAAGCUCCGGCGGUACAGGAUGGACCCGCGUCUGAUUAGCUAGUUGGUAAGGUAACGGCUUACCAAGGCGACGAUCAGUAGCCGACCUGAGAGGGUGAUCGGCCACAUUGGAACUGAGACACGGUCCAAACUCCUACGGGAGGCAGCAGUGGGGAAUAUUGCGCAAUGGGCGAAAGCCUGAUGCAGCAACGCCGCGUGAGCGAUGAAGGCCUUCGGGUCGUAAAGCUCUGUCCUCAAGGAAGAUAAUGACGGUACUUGAGGAGGAAGCCACGGCUAACUACGUGCCAGCCGCCGCCGUAAGAC